AACACACAUUGGUGAAUUCUUAUUUCUUUGCCAAUCGCGCAAUUCACAUGAAUCACGCGGAGAGAUAUAAAUAUUCUUCUAAUACCGACAACAUUCGACAUUUCCAUUAGCCAGUGAGGAAUAAAUAUCGAUGACUUCCACACAAGCGAAUGAUUGUAUUUGAGAGAAAGAGAAGAGAGAGAAAGAAAGAAAGAGAGAGGAAUCAUAUGGAGCACGUCAUCGCGGAAAUAUUCUCAGGAUAUUCACGCUUACAUUUCUUGUAUAUUCCAAAUAUGCAGGUUAAUGACCAAAUUUGUCUGUCGAUGAUAUUGUUUGAGUAGUACGCAGUAAAUCUCAUCAGAUGACGCUUCUAUUAUAUAAAAUUACAAUUAGCUGAUCCUAAUAACAAAUAGAUUGAGAAAGACUGGAUAAAUCUAAAUACUUGAAGUUCGAAUUCAAUUGCAAUGGAGACACAUAAGGUAACAUUUUUAUGUUUUCAACACAACACGCGAAUCGAACGAUUUCAAGUAGAUGCGUUAAUUAAUAUAAUACGUUUAUCUUUAAUGACCAUAAAAUUUAAUAAAAUAGUGACGAUUUAUUCAGUCGAAUCGCUUAUAAAAUAAUUCAGUUAGUUUCUAAUUUAAUCUUUUCUUCU